AGAGUUUGAUCCUGGCUCAGGAUGAACGCUAGCGGCAGGCCUAACACAUGCAAGUCGAGGGGCAUCACGAGGUAGCAAUACUUUGGUGGCGACCGGCGCACGGGUGCGUAACGCGUAUGUAACCUACCUAUAACAGGGGCAUAACACUGAGAAAUUGGUACUAAUUCCCCAUAAUAUUCGGAGAGGCAUCUCUCCGGGUUGAAAACUCCGGUGGUUAUAGAUGGACAUGCGUUGUAUUAGCUAGUUGGUGAGGUAACGGCUCACCAAGGCAACGAUACAUAGGGGGACUGAGAGGUUAACCCCCCACACUGGUACUGAGACACGGACCAGACUCCUACGGGAGGCAGCAGUGAGGAAUAUUGGUCAAUGGACGCAAGUCUGAACCAGCCAUGCCGCGUGCAGGAUGACGGCUCUAUGAGUUGUAAACUGCUUUUGUACGAGGGUAAACGCAGAUACGUGUAUCUGUCUGAAAGUAUCGUACGAAUAAGGAUCGGCUAACUCCGUGCCAGCAGCCGCGGUAAUACGGAGGAUUCAAGCGUUAUCCGGAUUUAUUGGGUUUAAAGGGUGCGUAGGCGGUUUGAUAAGUUAGAGGUGAAAUUUCGGGGCUCAACCCUGAACGUGCCUCUAAUACUGUUGAGCUAGAGAGUAGUUGCGGUAGGCGGAAUGUAUGGUGUAGCGGUGAAAUGCUUAGAGAUCAUACAGAACACCGAUUGCGAAGGCAGCUUACCAAACUAUAUCUGACGUUGAGGCACGAAAGCGUGGGGAGCAAACAGGAUUAGAUACCCUGGUAGUCCACGCAGUAAACGAUGAUAACUCGUUGUCGGCGAUACACAGUCGGUGACUAAGCGAAAGCGAUAAGUUAUCCACCUGGGGAGUACGUUCGCAAGAAUGAAACUCAAAGGAAUUGACGGGGGCCCGCACAAGCGGAGGAACAUGUGGUUUAAUUCGAUGAUACGCGAGGA
rnacentral:rRNA from 1 species